AUUGAACGCUGGCGGCAUGCCUUACACAUGCAAGUCGAACGGUAACACGUUAAGCUGUCGAUUUUCCGACUGGCGAGUAAUGUAUCGGUACGUGCUCCAUCGUGGUCUAUAAUUUCGUGAAAGAUCAGGUAGUACCGCAUACGCCCUUAGGGCGUACGCCGUGCGUGUCAAAGCCUCGCGUCUUUGGACCUUCCGCUAUCAGAUUAGCUAGUUGGUGAGGUAAAGGCUCACCAAGCCGACGAUCUGUAGCUGGUCUGAGAGGACGACCAGCCACACUGGGACUGAGACACGGCCCAGACUCCUACGGGAGGCAGCAGUGGGGAAUUUUGGACAAUGGGCGCAAGCCUGAUCCAGCCAUGCCGCGUGCGGGAAGAAGGCCUUCGGGUUGUAAACCGCUUUUGUCAGGGAAGAAAAGGAUCUGGCUAAUACCUGGGAGUCAUGACGGUACCUGAAGAAUAAGCACCGGCUAACUACGUG
rnacentral:rRNA from 1 species